UAAACGUUGCGGCGUGCCUGAUGCAUGCAAGUCGAACGCCCCAGUUUUCGCAAGAUUGACUGGGGAGUGGCGAACGGCUGAGUAACACGUAAGUAACCUGUCCCUAAGUGGGGGAUAACUUGCCGAAAGGCAGGCUAAUACCGCAUGUGCUGGUAAGCGUCAGUUUAUCAGCAAAGCUUUUGCGCUUGGGGAGGGGCUUGCGUCUGAUUAGCUAGUUGGUAGGGUAACGGCCUACCAAGGCGAUGAUCAGUAGCUGGUCUGAGAGGACAACCAGCCAGACGGGGACUGAGAUACGGCCCUGACUCCUACGGGAGGCAGCAGCAAGGAAUUUUGCGCAAUGGGCGAAAAAGCCUGACGCAGCGACGCCGCGUGGGGGAUGGCGGCCUUCGGGUUGUAAACCCCUUUUCUAGAGGAAGAAAUAUGACGGUACUCUAGGAAUAAGUCUUGGCUAACUACGUGCCAGCCGCCGC
rnacentral:rRNA from 1 species